rnacentral:rRNA from 1 species
GACGAACGCUGGCGGCGUGCUUAACACAUGCAAGUCGAACGGAGAAGCGCCUUCCUUUUUGGUGGGUUUGGAUGAGUGGCGAAGGGGGUAAUAACACGUUAGUAACCUUCUACCUCUUGCUUGAUAACCGCAUGAAAGUGUUGCUAACACGGGAUAUUCUGGACCUGUUGCAUCAUGGGUGUGGGACGGUCUUUGUUUCGGUUGUGGAUGGGUCCGCGCACUAUCAGCUUGUUGGUGUGGUAACGGCCUACCAAGGCGAUGAUGGGUAGCCGGCCUGAGAGGGUGGGCGGUCAUGCUGGGGAGAAGACGCCGAGACGCCUCCGACGGGCGGCAGCAGUGGGGAAUACGGCACGGGGGGAGGAAGGAUGAUGCAGCGACGCGGCGUGAGGGAUGGAGGCCUGAGGGUUGUGAACCGCUUUCGGGAGAGAAGCAGGCCUGCCUUGUUUGUGGGUGGGUUGACGGUAGCUGGAUAAGAAGCGACGGCUAACUACGUG